rnacentral:rRNA from 1 species
AGAGUUUGAUCCUGGCUCAGGACGAACGCUGGCGGUGUGCUUCACACAUGCAAGUCGAACGAGGUAGCAAUACCUAGUGGCGGACGGGUGAGUAAUACGUGGGAAUCUGCCUUGAGAUGGGGGAUAGCAGGCCGAAAGGCCUAUUAAUACCGCAUAUGCCGAAAGGUAAAAGGAGUAAUCCGUCUCAAGAUGAGCUCACG